GGACCUAUUAAAGAGAGAUCCAUUCCUGGGGACAUCUGCAGGGUUGUGUGAUGAGGUUGAUUUAAUGCAUCCCUGCCAAGACAACAUCUGUUGCCGCUUUAGCGAGAACUUCACUGCUGUUCUUCAAAAUGUUCUUCAAAUGACCAAGGAUUUGCCACUGAAGAAGGUCUACAUGGAGGCAAGAGAGAAUGCACUGGCUGAAGACAUUACAGGAAUUGACUUCAAGGGG